GACAGAGGUGCCGAGCGUUAGGCGGAAUCACUGGGCUUAAAGCGUGUGUAGGCGGAUGCCUAAGUACCUUGUGAAAUCCCACGGCUUAACCGUGGAACUGCUUGGUAUACUGGGUGUCUUGAGCCACUUAGGGGCGACCGGAACAAACGGUGGAGCGGUGAAAUGCGUAGAUAUCUGGAGGAACACCGGUGGCGAAGGCGGCGUUCUGGACUGCAACUGACACUGAUGAACGAAAGCCAGGGGAGCAAACGGG
rnacentral:rRNA from 1 species